UAGGGAAUCUUCCGCAAUGGACGCAAGUCUGACGGAGCAACGCCGCGUGAGUGAAGAAGGAUUUCGGUUCGUAAAACUCUGCUGUUAGAGAAGAACAGCGCAUAGAGUAACAGUUAUGCGUGUGACGGUAUCUAACUAGAAAGCCACGGCUAACUACGUGCCAGCAGCCGCGGUAUUACGUAGGUGGCAAGCGUUGUCCGGAUUUGUUGGGCGUAAAGCGAGCGCAGGCGGUUAGAUAAGUCUGAAGUUAAAGGCCGUAGCUCAACCAUUGUAGGCUUUGGAAGCUGAUUAACUUGAGUGCAGAAGGGGAGGGUGGAAUUCCAUGUGUAGCGGUGAAAUGCGUAGAUAUAUGGAGGAACACCGGUGGCGAAGGCGGCUCUCUGGUCUGUAACUGACGCGGAGGCACGAAAGCGUGGGGAGCGAACAGG
rnacentral:rRNA from 1 species